rnacentral:misc_RNA from 1 species
AAAACGCGAUAAUUAAUAUGAAUUACAGAAUUUAGUGAAUUAUCGAGAUUUUGAACGUAUAUUGCGUCUAUUGGUAUUCCUUUGGGCAUGUUUAUUUAAGCGUUAUUAUAAUUUUCAGCUAAUCAUUGUUUUUGAACCUGAACAGGUGAUAUCGUAUUGGUUUUAAAGUUGUAAGCUUUGCUGGCUGCUCUGCCCAACCAGAACAUAGUAGUACUACUUGUUUGAGUAAAGCUGAACAAUACAGCCUAAACAAAACCUACCUAUUUUCAAAGUUUGAUCUUAGAUUAGACAAGGAUACCUGCUGAACUUAAGC